rnacentral:sRNA from 1 species
UUUCCUCGGAGUGAGAGAAAACUCUUUUUAGAUAUCAUCUGAGAGGUAGUUAAUUUGGCACCAUGGGGAUACAGGGAUUGCUACAAUUUAUCAAAGAAGCUUCAGAACCCAUCCAUGUGAGGAAGUAUAAAGGGCAGGUAGUAGCUGUGGAUACAUAUUGCUGGCUUCACAAAGGAGCUAUUGCUUGUGCUGAAAAACUAGCCAAAGGUGAACCUACUGAUAGAAGACGACAAGCCAAUCUUCUUAAGGGAAAGCAACUUCUUCGUGAGGGGAAAGUCUCAGAAGCUCGAGAGUGUUUCACCCGGUCUAUCAAUAUCACACAUGCCAUGGCCCACAAAGUAAUUAAAGUCAAGCUAGAAGGAAACGAUGGGAUGCAGGACAGAGCGUGAAGUAUAAAGAAAUGUGUGCUCUGUGUAGUCAGGAGAAGAGAGGCUGCAUUGUGUGCGGAAGUAGAGGAGAAACCCUGAUUGGACACAAAUAGUGGUGUAAAAGUGUGUCCAGAAUUGGUGGGUUCUUGGCCUCACUGACUUCAAGAAUGAAGCCGCAGACCCUCGCGGCUGCCCGGUCUCAGGGGGUAGAUUGCCUCGUGGCUCCCUAUGAAGCUGAUGCGCAGUUGGCCUAUCUUAACAAAGCGGGAAUUGUGCAAGCCAUAAUUACAGAGGACUCGGAUCUCCUAGCUUUUGGCUGUAAAAAGGUUGUGACUACCUGUCAUCACUGCGUGGGAUUGGAUUAGCAAAGGCAUGCAAAGUCCUAAGACUAGCCAAUAAUCCAGAUAUAGUAAAG